CGCUGGGAGGCCCGCGAGGCGCGAGGCCGGCGCGCGAGCCCCCGGGGGCGGGGCAAAAGAAGUUGGAUGAGUGUCCUGAAUUUACUACUCAGAGUUCCAGGAGGAAAUAUCCAGUGGUCUGACGGUCAUCUGAAUCCCCUCCCUGUGGGGCCUGAACCGGGCCCUUCUGUUCCCUGGAGAGUCACUCCUUUGCUCUGGUGAGUCUUUUCCCUUUUGCCCUUGUUCCAAAGAUACCUACUUUGUCAGAUGGAUUCCCUUCUUUCUCAGAAGGGUUUCGAAUUGAUCCAAGAGUCUCUGUACCCACGGAAACCAUUACAAGUUGCUGCUUUGGGAAGUCAGAUGAGGAAAAGGUCAUUUGUUGUGCCUGUUGACGUCUCUGGAGGAAGGCAGACAUUUAUUAGAUUGAUCUAUGUUUCAUUGUUUAUUGCAAAAAUGCUUUUUCCCUCCUUCUGGUUCAGGGUGGCAACUCAGAUACCUCCAGGGAACAGGCAGGUAAAGGCCUGCAGGUGAACCAAAGAUCGUGGGCCCCCUCUGAGUGAUCCCCGCCAGUGGAAAUGACCAAGUGGAAGUUUGUUUGUUUUUUGAGAUGAGACCAGAACACUGACCUGUGUGAAACUUUUUGAUCUUUAAAUGGUGACAGUGAGGGGCGCCUGGGUGGCGCAGUCGGUUAAGCGUCUGACUUCAGCUCAGGUCACGAUCUCGCGGUCCGUGAGUUCGAGCCCCGCGUCGGGCUCUGGGCUGAUGGCUUGGAGCCUGGAGCCUGUUUCCGAUUCUGUGUCUCCCUCUCUCUCUGCCCCUCCCCCGUUCAUGCUCUGUCUCUCUCUGUCCCAAAAAUAAAUAAACGUUAAAAAAAAAAAUUAAAAAAAAAAA